GACGAACGCUGGCGGCGUGCUUAACACAUGCAAGUCGAACGGUAAGGCCCUUCGGGGUACACGAGUGGCAAACGGGUGAGUAACACGUGGGUGAUCUGCCCUGCACUUCGGGAUAAGCCUGGGAAACUGGGUCUAAUACCGGAUAGGACCCUGGGAUGCAUGUCCUGGGGUGGAAAGCUUUUGCGGUGUGGGAUGGGCCCGCGGCCUAUCAGCUCGUUGGUGGGGUGAUGGCCUACCAAGGCGACGACGGGUAGCCGGCCUGAGAGGGUGACCGGCCACACUGGGACUGAGAUACGGCCCAGACUCCUACGGGGGGCAGCAGUGGGGAAUAUUGCACAAUGGGCGCAAGCCUGAUGCAGCGACGCCGCGUGAGGGAUGACGGCCUUCGGGUUGUAAACCUCUUUCAGCACCGACGAAGCGCAAGUGACGGUAGGUGCAGAAGAAGGACCGGCCAACUACGUGCCAGCCGCCGCCGUAA
rnacentral:rRNA from 1 species